CAGACUGAUGGCCUAACGGUUCAGGGUGAUCGCUUUGGGAGUGAUAGAUUUGGGUUCGAUUCCCAACAGUCUGA
rnacentral:tRNA from 1 species